GCCCAUAGCAGCAGAACAUUUCCAUAGUAGUUGGAACCUGGUUGUGGGGAGAAGGUAAAGAGUGAUCUCUGAUUAAUCAUGGCACCUGAAAUUGAUUAGGAGAGAGGAAAAAGAGAAGCAAAUGCUACCAGUGUUGAAAAUGUGAUGAAUCCUCCCUGAAGAAUAUCGCUUCCUUCACAAGCCCAGACCUACAGUGGAUACUUGGAAGGCUGCAAGGCUGCUGUUGGUGGGCUCCAGGCUGCGCAGAACUGAUGGAGAAACAUUGCUGACUGGAGCUUGGCUGCAGAAAACAGCAGGUGAGGACAGCUCUCAUGCAUCCAUGACUGACAGCUGGUGGUGCAGCCGGAGCAGUGCCUGCCCUAGGGUGCCCCACUGCUCAGAAGUGCGUAUCAGCCCUGGGACCAAGGGGAGCAGUGCAGAUCUGGAGCAGUGCAGGAGGGAAUCAAGCCUCUUGCUCAAGUGGCUCACAUGAAGGAAACUUUGAGGGCUCUGAGGCUCUCUUUGGUGUCACUGUGCAGGUGUGUGGAAGUGAGUUUUCCUUCCUGAAACUUCAAGCAUCUGAGAGAUACUUUUGAUACGAGCUUGUAUACCCAGGAUUCUUUCCAUUGCACUUCAGACUGUGAGCCUGUUACAGAGAUACCUUCUCUCAGUAAAACCUGAGGAAUCAAUGAAGUGCAUCCCUGAGGCUACACAGAAAAACAGUAGGAGUAGCAAGGUGUCAGUACGACCCUCAGGCUUGCUAGAGACCAAGAAUAUGUAGCCAAACCCUUUGUUUUCAUAGUG